CGACGUGGAUAACCUGCCUCACACUGGGGGAUAACAGUUAGAAAUGACUGCUAAUACCGCAUAAGCGCACAGUGCUGCAUGGCACAGUGUGAAAAACUCCGGUGGUAUGAGAUGGACUCGCGUCUGAUUAGCUAGUUGGUGGGGUAACGGCCUACCAAGGCGACGAUCAGUAGCCGGCCUGAGAGGGUGACCGGCCACAUUGGGACUGAGACACGGCCCAA
rnacentral:rRNA from 1 species